GAUGAACGCUGGCGGCGUGCUUAACACAUGCAAGUCGAACGAAGCAUUUAGAACGGAUUACUUCGGUUUGAAGUUCUUUAUGACUGAGUGGCGGACGGGUGAGUAACGCGUGGGUAACCUGCCUUGUACUGGGGGAUAGCAGCUGGAAACGGCUGGUAAUACCGCAUAAGCGCACAAUGUUGCAUGACAUGGUGUGAAAAACUCCGGUGGUAUAAGAUGGACCCGCGUCUGAUUAGCUAGUUGGUGAGAUAACAGCCCACCAAGGCAACGAUCAGUAGCCGACCUGAGAGGGUGACCGGCCACAUUGGGACUGAGACACGGCCCAGACUCCUACGGGAGGCAGCAGUGGGGAAUAUUGCACAAUGGAGGAAACUCUGAUGCAGCGACGCCGCGUGAGUGAAGAAGUAAUUCGUUAUGUAAAGCUCUAUCAGCAGGGAAGAUAGUGAUGGUACCUGACUAAGAAGCUCCGGCUAAAUACGUGCCAGCAGCCGCAGUAA
rnacentral:rRNA from 1 species